AAAAAUGGCGAUAGCACGUUAAAUGCGUCAGUUCCCAGCAAUGGGAUCACUAAAGUUGAGUAACGUUGGGGGUGUUUGGUAUCCGGAUCCAUGGGUGACCAUCUGGACCUUGCUGCCGGCUUUUUC
rnacentral:rRNA from 1 species